GAUGAACGCUGGCGGCGUGCCUAAUACAUGCAAGUCGAGCGAACAGACGAGGAGCUUGCUCCUCUGGCGUUAGCGGCGGACGGGUGAGUAACACGUGGAUAACCUACCUAUAAGACUGGGAUAACUUCGGGAAACCGGAGCUAAUACCGGAUAAUAUAUUAAACCGCAUGGUUCAAUAGUGAAAGACGGUUUUGCUGUCACUUAUAGAUGGAUCCGCGCCGCAUUAGCUAGUUGGUAAGGUAACGGCUUACCAAGGCAACGAUGCGUAGCCGACCUGAGAGGGUGAUCGGCCACACUGGAACUGAGACACGGUCCAGACUCCUACGGGAGGCAGCAGUAGGGAAUCUUCCGCAAUGGGCGAAAGCCUGACGGAGCAACGCCGCGUGAGUGAUGAAGGUCUUCGGAUCGUAAAACUCUGUUAUUAGGGAAGAACAAAUGUGUAAGUAACUAUGCACGUCUUGACGGUACCUAAUCAGAAAGCCACGGCUAACUACGUG
rnacentral:rRNA from 1 species